AAGCCAUGGUGAGGACACAUCCUUAUCAGAGUAUUAUAUCUCUGCCAUGCAUCAUAGAGACUCUCACCUUCAAACUGAGCAAAUCUGGUGAUCUUGUCUCUGUAUUC